rnacentral:rRNA from 1 species
AUGGGGUACCUGAGCACCGUCAUCGGCCACCCCACGGACGGAUCGCCCGUCAGCGGCGGCGGCCUCAGCCAGAAUGGUAGGUUUAGCUAUGGUUAUGCGAGCUCCCUGGGUAAAAGGGCUUCCAUGGAAGACUUUUAUGAGACAAGAAUUGAAAGUGUUGAUGGACAGCUUAUUGGUUUAUUCGGAGUUUUUGAUGGUCAUGGUGGUGCUAAAGUAGCUGAGUAUGUCAAACACAACCUCUUCAGCCAUCUUCUUAGGCAUCCAAAGUUCAUGAGUGACACAAAAGUGGCUAUAGAUGAUUCUUAUAAAAGUACCGACAGUGAGUUCUUGGAAUCUGACAGUACUCAAAACCAGUGUGGGUCAACAGCAUCAACUGCUGUACUUGUUGGUGAUCGUCUCUUUGUCGCAAAUGUUGGAGACUCCAGGGCUAUCAUAUGCAGGGCAGGAAAUGCUGUACCUGUUUCGAAAGAUCACAAGCCUGAUCAGACAGAUGAGCGGCAACGUAUUGAAGAAGCUGGAGGUUUUGUUAUGUGGGCAGGGACAUGGCGUGUUGGUGGUGUACUUGCUGUUUCUCGCGCUUUUGGUGACAAGCUCUUAAAGCAGUAUGUAGUUGUGGAUCCAGAGAUCCGGGAGGAAAUCGUUGACGAGUCCCUGGAGUUUCUCAUCCUUGCAAGCGAUGGGCUGUGGGAUGUGGUCUCUAACGAGGAGGCUGUCGAUAUGACCCGGUCAAUACAAGACCCAGAGGAAGCUGCUAAGAGGCUCUUGCAGGAGGCCUACAAGCGGGAGAGCAGCGACAACAUAACCUGCGUCGUCGUGCGCUUCUUUCACGGGCAAGGGAGUAGUGGGCCUGCUUAA